UCAUCCUGGUCGCCAGCUAUGUCAUCCUGCUCCUGGUCUUCCUCAUCUCCUGCAUCCUGUACGACUGCCGGGGCAAAGACCCCACCAAGGAGUACGCGCCCGACAGCGCGCCGGCGCCGCCCAGCCAGUCGCCCAUACGCCUGGUGGUCAUGCAGAACUCGCCGGCCUCGUCCCGCUACGAGCCCAACAGCACGGCGGCCCACGGCGAGCUGCCGACGCCGGAGCUGAGCCGGGACCGAGGAGACAGGGAGCGGGAGAAGAGGAGCACCCUGGUCUGAGGAAGAGGAGUGAGAGGAGGAAGGCUCAGACUGAUACACCACCAAGUGCUGCUGGCUCACGUUGUACAGUGAUUUUAGUUCUGGACUCUUGUUUUGAAGCUGUAACAUCCGUCGAUGGCGUCGACGACGAGCAGCCGAGGUCAGCAGGAGUUAAUCAACUUACUGGUUCAAUAAUUAGUCAAACAACCCACUGUGUUGUGGGGACACGACUCGACGGCCCACCUCAUUGCAGGGACACGACCUGACGGCCCACCUCGUUGCGGGGACACGACCUGACGGCCCACCUCGUUGCGGGGACACGACUCGACGGCCCACCUGGUUGCGGGGACACGACCCGACGGCCCACCUGGUUGCGGGGACACGACCUGACGGCCCACCUCGUUGCGGGGACACGACUCGACGGCCCACCUCGUUGCGGGGACACGACUCGACGGCCCACCUCGUUGCGGGGACACGACCUGACGGCCCACCUCGUUGCGGGGACACGACUCGACGGCCCACCUCGUUGUGGGCACUGGGGGAAAUAGUUCUCAACGUUUUCUGUUUAUUCAGGUUUAGCUCGCAGCGGCUCUCGGAGUGAGAGAAGUUUGUGUGUCGUCUUUGUCACAUCUGUCAGAGAUCACUAGAAGUAACGUUACUUUAAUUCAUCCGUCUUGUUCAGGCGUCACAGAUAUUACAUGUUGUUUAAAAAAUAAGGACAAAAUUACAACUUGUAGGGUUUUUUCCAACAUGAAAAUGUAAAAUAAAUCUGUUAAACCACUUUGCAUGUGAACAUGUGUCGGUGUGUGUCCAGUGCAUCUGUUCGUCCCAUACGUGCGUACUGUACACGUGUCGUGCCAGUCGUCUGUAUGUUCAGACGAUAAUCCAUCUCCAUGGAAAUCACUCAUCACAGAUCUGCCUCGGUUUGAGUGACAGGAAUCAACGUCCGAGCAGCCGAUCGGUUCUGCUCACUGUAAUCUGAUUAACUGCAAAUCAGAACCUGAUUAAUUAGUUUCAGGUCUGCAGCCAGUGACACAUCACGUACAGUACGCACUCACACUCCUGCACAAACUGGUUUAUG
rnacentral:lncRNA from 1 species